CACAUACGUAGUAAUUGAGAUAUAAACACAAACUAAAGUGGGAUAUUUAGCUCAUUAGUAAUUUCAAUGUAGUUAGAUAAUUUGUCUAAUAAUACAAAUUUCAAUACAGCUUAAAUGACAGCAACAUUAAGGCCUAUGCACAGAAGAACAUUUUUCAUUCGAUGUCCUUCAAUCCACUACUAACAAGGUGACUUUAAGUUGCUAAAACAUCCACUUCAAUGGUUGUUCUUCCCCUCAACAUCAAUAAACACCAAAUCAAUACCAAAUUAGUGGUUUAUAAAUUUGAAAUAUUACUGAUAUCAGCCCUAAUUCACCAUGCAAAGGGUGUGAAAAAUAAAAACAAAUAACCUCAGCUAUAAAUGAAAAGGCUACAAACAAUUUUAUCAGAACUGAUUCAACAUAACAUCUUCCAAGAAAGAAAAAGGAGGAGAGAAGACGAACAAGGAAGAUAAAGGGUGUUGGAUGAGUCAUACACGUCUAUAGGUAUUCAAAAUUUCGCAUGGCUUCGAGCAACUUCCUCUCUGCCAAGUACACUUUUCAUGAUAAUCUACACUCAACCUGAUGAAUACAGGUAUUUGUUUCAUAAAACCAUCCUUUAGCAAUCAAUGGACUGCUUUCUGUCUUUCAGAAGCAUCUUCAUGCUCAACCUCUACAAGUACCCUUGCUUUUUUCUUCAAUUUAGCACCAGAUUCAUCUUUCUCAAGCUUUCUUGAAGCCAGAUCAGAUUCUUUUCUCCCUCUCUUGUGAUCAACUUUUUCUGUCCCCUCAGCAUCAUCGUCAUCCAAUCCAACUGUAUCAAUAACCAUCGAGACAUCAAUCCAUGAGUAUAUAGGCUUAUUUUCAUGAAAGGCAUCGAUUGAAAAAAGGCAAGGCAACUGUUAUCAUGUGGUUAAAUGCAAGAUUUUUUUUUUUGCCAUAGGUAUGAAUUGGUAAUGUCAAAAGGCCACAGACCUCAUGUUUUAAUUUCAAUAUUUCUCAAAAGAAUAAACAUCAGACAAACAAGUUACAUAACUAGAAACAAGCAGGAUGCUUACAAAAGAAUAGAGAAAAUGCAAUAGUAGAUAGGAUUUAAAUUUCUUUUUGCCAGAAUCAUGCAUAUUAUUCAUGAGAAAAUACUCCAUAGAAAACAUUCAAUGAUAUAUUUACCAUUAUCAUCAUCAAAUGCAAGGGAGCCAUUGAUUCCAAGGUCACCAAAAUCUUCUAUAUCAUCUUCCUCUUCAAGGUCAUCAUAGCCCUCAACAUAUUCGACCUCAGGUUCCUCUUCCUCUUCUUCACCCGCAACCUGCAGUUCAUCCAUAUCUAGUAGUUCAUUGUAUUUAUCUGCAGGAUAAUUGUAUAUGUCACCAUAAACUCCUUUCUUAAGGCGUUCUAGCAAUUCUUUUUCGAUGCUCUUAUCCAACAAGGCUGCUUUUUCUGCCUUUUCCUCUCUUCGAGCCUCCCUUUUUGCCAGUUUUCUUGGCGUUGUCAUUAUCUUUUCCCUGUAGAAAAGCCAAUAUGAUAGUCACGGUAUAAAAGGAAAGGAACACAUUGAGUAGCAAUCCAACCUAGUGAAGCCAAGUAUUUGUGUGCAAAAGCACAGCUGAAUAUACCUAAUGCAGAGCCUGAACUAAGCUCAACUUUCUUUGUUUCAUAACUCAAAACACACCCAGCUCAUACUUCGAAUCAAAUAUUAAUCUGCCUUUAAUAUUCUUAUUAUGAUUGGUUGAUCAAAACCAGACAAUAUUCACUCUCUGAGUGCUAUAUUUUAUGAUUCAAGUUCAAAUAUAUACUUCCUAUAUUAAAUCUAUAAAGCUAGUCAUGCAAACAUUAAUGAGAACCGCGUGCUUGUUUAAUAAUUGAGACCUCAAGCUUAAGCAUCACUCAUUAUUAAAACGGAGAGAAGUUGAGCUCUUGAGUACUCAACUUGCUUACAGUUUAAUGCACACCAUUAAGCCUAAAGGAGCCAUGACUAAAUCAAUCUCCAGCAAAAUUUGGGAAAUCUUAAUUAAGAAUGUGAUUGGCAAAAAAGCAAAAAACUAAUAUCUGUCUUAUGAAAAAAAAUUAGUCAAAUUUUGUUUACAGAUUAUUCAGAGUGAAAAAUAGCAUUUUGCAUCCAGCCAGUUAAUUGUCAUCUUCUUUUCAAAUAAGAAGGAACUAAUUGUGCAACUACUUGGACUUUCACAAAUUUGUAUAGAUAAUUAUAAAACUAUUUUUAUUGUCAGGAAUCCACAACAAAUUCAUGCUACUAAAUCUUUUAGCAUAAGCAUCAAUCACUUAAAACAAUGACACUCAUCCAAUUCCUGUUAAAUGCCAAUUAUCAAAGCUGUUAACCGGGAAAAAAUGGGAAAUCAUCCAAACCUAUAUCAGGUCAAAAGUCAGAGGUAAUAUUCCAGAAGAAUGUCCAAGAAGAGGCUCUUUGAGAUGGCAACAGUUGCCCCAUAAACAGUGCAAAAUCAAGAACACAAUUCUGUCAUUAGAGGAGAUGACGAAAAACAACCUCACUCGCUCCAGAUAUUUCAUAGGUUCAAGAACUAUUAUAUUUAAAAAAAGCAACAUGUAAGAUGUAACUAUCACGUUACAAGUUAAAUGGUAACACCAACCAAAAGGCGGAUUAUAACAUGAAAUUCAGAGAAAAUUACAGCAUGGGUCUAAGGUGUUGCUCAAUACUCCAAAAUCACUCCAUAACAAUGUUGCCAGGACAAACAAGGCGGUGCACUAAUACAGUCCACCAUUCUUAGGGCAUAAUUCCAGCUUCAUAAAAAAUUGAUUACAGAAAGAAGAAACAAUUUAUAGCACAGUAUGGAGCUAACCUUGUCUUCAAAGCAAGCUUCCUCAUACGAAUGCGCAUCUGAGUCAUUUUGGUUAGCCGUUGCUUUACUUUGUGUAGGAGCAACUUAGGCCAAUAAGUCAAGUGUUUAUCAAUAAUCUCAAGC
rnacentral:misc_RNA from 1 species